UACAGAGGGGGCAAGCGUUGUUCGGAAUUACUGGGCGUAAAGGGCGCGUAGGCGGCCUGUUAAGUCGAACGUGAAAUCCCCCGGGCUCAACCCGGGAACUGCGUCCGAUACUGGCAGGCUUGAAUCCGGGAGAGGGAUGCGGAAUUCCAGGUGUAGCGGUGAAAUGCGUAGAUAUCUGGAGGAACAUCGGUGCGAAGGCGGCAUCCUGGACCGGUAUUGACGCUGAGGCGCGAAAGCCGGGGAGCAAAACGGG
rnacentral:rRNA from 1 species